AUCCAUGCUGCAAAACUGAGCCCUUCUUUAAUAGUGUGCUGGGAUAGGUGACCUAUGGGAUGAUUCAAUUUACUUGACUCAUUCUAUCAGUCUAUCACUGUUGGUCCCUAAUCUUCCUAAUUUAGCAGGUGAGGCUAGAUAGUUAUCUUCACAAUGUUCUUAGUUACUGCUGAGAAAGGACAAAGCCUUUUUUUAAAUCCCAUAGAUUAUUUGUAGCAGAUGGAGACCAGUCCAGAGGGCUGAUAAAUUUUGCUUAGAAAAUAAGUGAAUCAUUCAUUGCGUUCAAGCCUUUACAUAUGUCUUUAAUUGAGGUUUUAGACUUAUCUAUACUUAAAACUGUACAGCUGUGCAGCUGCAGCUCUAGUGCUUUAGUAUAGACACCCCCAGCACCGAUGAGAUGGAUUCUCCUGUCAGUGUUGUUAAUCCAUCUCCCCAGGAGGCAGUAGCUAGGUCAAUGGAAGAAUUCUUCCAUUGACCUAGCACUUUCUACAUGGGGACUUAGGUUGGCCCAACUCCACCAUUCAGGGUUGUAGAUUUUUUACAUCCCUGAUCAACAUAGUUUUGAUGAGCAAAUUUUCUACUGCAGACCAGGUCUCAGAACACUUUCUAGUAGAUCUGAAACAGCCUCUACACAAGUCUCUGUAACAGAGAUGUGUAAGGUUGCUACAUGGAGCUCAAUUCACACAUCUUUGCAGCAGCAUUCUCUUUGAGUUAGCUUGUAGGUCUGAUGUCCAAUGAGGAAGAGUAGUCUUGCAAUCAUUAACUCAGUUAAUACUCCUUUAGUGGGGUGGGGGUGGGUUUGUUAUCAUUAGCUAAUCACCAAAGGGGGCAAUUAUCAAAGGACAAAAAAAAGCUGCUUAUCAGCUACUGGAUCCAUAUUGCCCAGCCACCUUCCCUGCUUCUGAGUCUUUAGAUGAUUUUUUGACUAAGUAGGAAAAGAAUUGAUUUGGGAUAGAAGCACUUUAUAUGCAUGUGUACAACAGUGGACAUAUUUCCUCUAGCGGGUUCUGCCUGUAAACUGAGGGCACAUGCACAUUUCUACAAGUGUGGCUGUAUUCAGGCAAUUGACUGAACUACAGCUCCUGAUUAUUUUACAAUCCAGAAAUUUAGUUUUCCAUGAAAUCUCAACAAACUGGUCAUCCACACACUGAAAGAAUGAAAAAUAUUAAACCUGCUGUCUAUUGCUUUUCCUACAAGAAUAUUGCCCCAACCACCUCCUUAGCAUGCAAGUUUCAUCCACUAACUAAGCAACCAACCUCUGGAUUUGAAAAUCUGUGCAUGGAUCCAGCGAGCUAGAACUUGGGUGGGGGCUCCAGGUGACUGACACAGGAUCAAUGCACUGAAAACCCUGGGAGACAAGGCACCACAGGAAAUGAUUCACAUGGAAGACCCGAUUGGCAGCACUCCAUAUGACCCCUGAUUGAUCCAAAUGACCUAUUUAAGCAAGGAGAGAGAUCCAGGAAGCUGUCUGUGCAAGAAGGCAGAUUCCUGACAUGCUACUGAGACAGAUCUUGCCUUGUUUUUCCAUCCUUGCCUUGUUCCUGGUCCCUGUUUCCUUGUCCUGUUCCAGCCCUGUCCCAGCCUGGCUCCUGCCCUGGACCCAGCUCUGCUCCUGCCUUCCCU